rnacentral:rRNA from 1 species
UACGUAGGGGGCGAGCGUUGUCCGGAUUUAUUGGGCGUAAAGAGCUCGUAGGCGGCUCAGUAAGUCGGGUGUGAAAACUCCAGGCUCAACCUGGAGACGCCACCUGAUACUGCUGUGGCUAGAGUCCGGUAGGGGAGCAUGGAAUUCCUGGUGUAGCGGUGAAAUGCGCAGAUAUCAGGAGGAACACCAGUGGCGAAGGCGGGUCUCUGGGCCGAUGACUGACGCUGGAGGAGCGAAAGCGUGGGGAGCAAACAGG